rnacentral:pre_miRNA from 1 species
AGUAAAAUUGCUGGGUCAUAUGAUAAUUAUAUGCUUAAUAUUUUGAAAAACUGCCCAACUAUUUUCCAAGGGAAAUUUAUCAUUUUGCACUUACACCUACAGCACAU